AUUGAACGCUGGCGGCAGGCUUAACACAUGCAAGUCGAGCGGGGGGAGGUAGCUUGCUACCGGACCUAGCGGCGGACGGGUGAGUAAUGCUUAGGAAUCUGCCUAUUAGUGGGGGACAACAUCUCGAAAGGGAUGCUAAUACCGCAUACGUCCUACGGGGGAAAGCAGGGGAUCACUUGUGACCUUGCGCUAAUAGAUGAGCCUAAGUCGGAUUAGCUAGUUGGUGGGGUAAAGGCCUACCAAGGCGACGAUCUGUAGCGGGUCUGAGAGGAUGAUCCGCCACACUGGGACUGAGACACGGCCCAGACUCCUACGGGAGGCAGCAGUGGGGAAUAUUGGACAAUGGGGGGAACCCUGAUCCAGCCAUGCCGCGUGUGUGAAGAAGGCCUUAUGGUUGUAAAGCACUUUAAGCGAGGAGGAGGCUCUUUUGGUUAAUACCCAGAAUGAGUGGACGUUACUCGCAGAAUAAGCACCGGCUAACUCUGUGCCAGCAGCCGCCGCCG
rnacentral:rRNA from 1 species